AAUUUUACUAUAUAUCAAUAUGCUAAGUUAAGCCAAAUAAAACAAUCAAUGACUAUAUAUCAAUGACAACAGUAUUGAAAUGACAAUAUAUUAAAAUAUCUCAAUGUCAAAACAUAUUUUGAUUGUCCAAGCAAGAUUCAGUUAAAGAUUCAAUCUAAUCUGAUUAAUUGGACAAUACUAAAUUAAAUGAAACCAUAUGAGUCUCUUUUACAUGGGUACUCAUAUAUCAAUAUGCUAAGUCAAGUCAUAUAAGAUAAUCUAUAAUAUUAUUUUUAUCAAAAAUAUAUAAAGAUAAUAAUAAAUUUUCAUUUCACAAGAUAAUUAAUGGCAUACUUAAAGGGGAUACAUAAUAUUAGCAUUUAACAAGUUAGCAACAUUUAACCAAAUAAUAUCCCUCUGACUAAGGAAAUUUUGGUUCUAUAAAAUAUAAAGUAAUUUAACAAUACUGUCACAUUGGCUAAGGAUAAUUUUAUUUUUUAUCAUAGAAUAAUUUGACAAAUUAUUGUGGUACAAGUGCUUGUUUCAUCACUUAUCUCAACCCAUAUAUUGCUCAACCAAAUAAAAAAUUUCAAUAAUAGUAGGAUUUCUAGAUUAUAAAAUCUUUAUUUUUUGUGCAAAGUUAGGUACAUAUGGAUCAUUAAUACUAAUGAUGAGAGGUAGAGAAAGAUAUAAACAAUUUUAAAUAAAUUUUAAUUUUUAGGGGGUGAAAUUGAUCCAACAUGGAUCUGUUACUGGAGAACCCUAUCCAUAAUAUCAGACAGAUAAUAAUAAAUUAUCUUAUUGAUAUAACAAUGACACUUUAGCAUUUAAUAUAAAAAUACUACCGUAUUUUUUACACUAACUCAAAAAAAUGAUACCUGUAACACAUAGAGAACAUGUUUAAAGCAAUACACCAUCAAACACGGAUAAGUAUCCACCUAUCCGCCUAAUGUGCUGAGAAACCCAUCAUCAUUGAAUUCUUAACACCGCAUAAAUUUAUUCAUCAAAACAAAAAGAAUUUUUUGUUGUAAAAACUA
rnacentral:lncRNA from 1 species